rnacentral:rRNA from 1 species
GCGGAGGGAUCAUUACCGAGUUAUUCAACUCAUCAACCCUGUGAACAUACCUAAACGUUGCUUCGGCGGGAACAGACGGCCCCGUGAAACGGGCCGCCCCCGCCAGAGGACCCCUAACUCUGUUUCUAUAAUGUUUCUUCUGAGUAAAACAAGCAAAUAAAUUAAAACUUUCAACAACGGAUCUCUUGGCUCUGGCAUCGAUGAAGAACGCAGCGAAAUGCGAUAAGUAAUGUGAAUUGCAGAAUUCAGUGAAUCAUCGAAUCUUUGAACGCACAUUGCGCCCGCCAGUAUUCUGGCGGGCAUGCCUGUUCGAGCGUCAUUACAACCCUCAGGCCCCCGGGCCUGGCGUUGGGGAUCGGCGGAGCCCCCCGUGGGCACACGCCGUCCCCCAAAUACAGUGGCGGUCCCGCCGCAGCUUCCAUCGCGUAGUAGCUAACACCUCGCGACUGGAGAGCGGCGCGGCCACGCCGUAAAACACCCAACUCUUCUGAAGUUGACCUCGAAUCAGGUAGGAAUACCCGCUGAACUUAAGCA